ensembl:lncRNA
CCGGUCCGUACCGCGCUCUGUCAGCGGUUUAUCGGCCCUUAAAAACUUCGGCUUCGCAGGUGCCCUCCUGCCCCCGCAGCCCUCGCUCCAGCAGUCCCUAAUUCAGCCUCAUUUUCGAACUGCAGCCCCUGCCGCCGUUCCAGGCAUCCCGAGCCACUUACUCAUUCUUCCCAAUGCUUGUCGCUGCUAUCCUAAAUAUAGGGUAGUGUGCCAACGGGAGAGGCUCGGGAGCGAGCCGGGGUGCAGGGAACGCCACCGCCGUGUCGGCAGAGCCGUGCUGCUCCCAGCCCGUGCUGCCUGCUUGCUGCAGGCUUUGUGCUGCUUGGGGAGCUGCCGUGAGUUCCUGAAUGGGAUGGGGUUGGUUAUGGUGUGUGCUGACUUAGCGGUGCCCGGGGUAUGGGUCAGUGUGCUCUUUGCCUUGCCCUGCACCCGCGGGUCUGUAGGGAUUUGUUAACCCCGAGUGCUUCUCUGCUUUCAGACGUGGCUCACACCGAGCUGAGUGCUGCGGGGCCGCGCUCUGCUCCUCUGGCUGCUGCAGGGCCUGAGGGUGGGCAGUGGGGGACACCGGGAUCCCCGCCGGCUUCGGCUGUGAUAGGCACAGCCAGAACUGGCUCAGACCUGACCAUAGCUUAUCUGCCACGGCCGGCUGCUCUGGAGGAAUUCCUGCACGUCUUCUGGCGGCAGAACUUCGCUCCGGCAGCGGGGGGACGUCGGAGGGAAUGCUGCGUCCUGGUUCGUGCCAUAGAGAGAGGCGCUGCGGUGCUUUGCACCUGAGCCCGGGGUCCCCUCAGCUCUGCUGGAGGAGGUGAGAGGGCGGUGGGGUCACGCUGGUGGCACUGCCGGGCUCCCCUGGCACAGGGGUGAGCCGCAGCGUGCUGCUGGUGCAGCAGAGGUGUGUGACACAGCAGCAGGAGCGGUGUGAGCUGCCUCUCCGCGUCCCGUCAGCUGAGGAAUAGCGUGGAGGAAUGAAUUCCAGUGAGUUGGAUGAGGAAAAUGUAAACUCUGCGUUCUCGUCGGGCAAACAGCAGUCGUGUAAAUAAACGUCUCUGGGAUUCCUUGUGGUGCUCAUCGACUGCCCGAUCCCUCGUGGUCUCUUGUUGAACUGGUGGGGUGGCUGCUGCUGCUCCCCCAGCUCUGAGUGCUUUGCCAGCAGUUUGGGCAAAACACAAGUAAACACCAUUGGGUUGACCCGGCAUAUCUGAGGUCUUGGUAUGCUGAAAAUGUUUGUUCUUGGGAUGUUUGUGCAGUCUGGAGGGCUCUGUACUUUAAGUCCCGUUUGCUGAGGACUGUGACUUGUUUAAUCUGUCUGAAGAACCUGUGCUUUUGGGGCUUGUUCUGUGAGAUUGAGUAAGUUUGGGCAAAGCCUGGAGGUGCUGCAGGAAGGGAGGUUAGUUCAUUAACCAACGGUCACGCAGGUGUGCAUAUUUCCUGCUCCGCCGCGUUUUCCUACCUUUGUAUUUUCCUGCAUUUAUUCACUGACUCAAUUCUGGUCUGGAUUGAAGUUCAUUGAAGUGGGAAAGGCGCUCGGGACUGCUUGGUGUUGCUUUGCUUUUCCUGAGUGUGCCGGCUGUGCUGGGCUGCCUGCAUCCUGGGACGGGCGGUGAAUAGAAGCCGAAGCUCCUGUCUGGAGGGCAGCCUUUGCCUGAGGUGUCAGCAGGGCUCAGGUGAGAUCUCACACCCCAGUACUGCAUGCCAUUUUCCCCAGUGCUGUGUCCUGCUCAAGGUCACACGGCGUGGCACCGUGGGUUCCCGGAGGCCAGGCUCCCUCUGGGAGGUGCCCUGGCAUCCCCACUGCACCUCCACAUCCUGGGCCAGGUUGUGGGCCUGCUGCUUCUGACAUAUCCAACUUGGGGAGCUCCUGGUGGGCCCCCAGCUUUAGCACAAAGGGUUUGUGCUGGUGGCACCCUUGCUAUGGACAUGAGCAAGCUCCUUCCUGCACGUGGCGGCCAGUCUUUGCUGAGCUGAUCUUUUUUUUUCUUUUUCCCCCUUUUUUUUUAUUCCCCUGGAUUAACUUUCUGCAAAUUAGUAACCCAAAUGGUCACACGAAGGAGUGGAUAAGCACAGAGCCCCAGAGGAGGGGGCCCAGCCUGGAGGAGGAGGAGGAGGCAGCGGGUGCUGGUGCUGCAGCGGUGAGUUAGCACAGGGCACUCUCAAAAGGGCCCUUCUCUUCCCCACUCUCAGCUGUGCCCUCCUGCCUCCUCCCACGUGCCAGCUGUGGUGCUGAGCCCGUGCAUUGAUGAACUGACCCAGCUCGCUUGGCAUUCAAUUGUUCUUUUCAUGGUGGGUUUUUUUUCCGUGUGAGCAUUUCCCUGCUGGUCAGGAGGGGACUCAGACCGGGCUGGCAGGCAGGGAGCCCUCUGCCAGCACGGCUCUCCACUGAGGUCCCUCCUGUGGGGUUACUGCCCUGCUUGCUGCUACUGCAGCUGUGGCAUUUGCCAUCGCGGUGAACCUGACCGAGAAUACGGGCUGUAUUUUCUCACGUGCUUUCUGAGAAGAGCUCAGCUCCUGGAGGGCAACGGGGUGGCUUCAGAAAGAUUUCAGAUCCUGGCUCAGAGCUCUACCACAAAUUGCUUUAAAAGCCUCUGUGCAGCGUUGGGUUCUGCAGUGCUCCUCGGGAGGACCUGACUGGUGGCAUUCCUGCCUGCCCUCGGUGCAGGGAUUGCAGGAGGGGUUUCAGCUUAUUGCAGCACGGCCACGGGUCACUCUGGUGCUGAACACAGCUGAGGUGUUUGUUAUCUCCAUGCUGUACUCUGGGGAGUCUUACAGGAAGGCCUCACGCAGGGAGCAGAUUCCGAGUGUGAUAGCAGGAGGCAUUGUGAGCCAGAAGGCAGAAGAACUGUACUGCUGGAUGCUGAUACUGAGUGCUUUGGAGCUCUCUUUUUCUCCUCUAACACCUUCCAUCUGGAUCUGCUUCCUCUGAAGGUGAGCACUCAGCUUUUCCCCAGAUCAGGGCUUCUUAGCACCGGAUGACCUUGCAGUCACCUGCAAACACAGCGUGAGGCUGCUGGAAAUCUGAACUGAUGCUUUUGACACUGAGGCUGCAAAGAUACAAAUAAUCUGGGUUGCAACAGUUUGAUAUUUGCAUCCCAUAGGCUUUCCUGGCACCUGUUGCUGUGUUCUCUGUGCUGGAGGAGUUGGUUCUCUCAUGCAGGACCAUGCCUGGUGGUUUCCCACCCCAGAGAAGCUGUUACCGUUGGAGUUUCUAUCAUAAUGCCAGGAGGCACAUUAGGGAAUGAAAGGUGGUUGUUCUGAACUCUGUAUUAAAGGUCUCAGGAUCUUAAAAUUCAGUUCCCUCUCUCCUAUCAGCUCCCAAAAUCUUCGUUCUUUCCUUUCUCCUGCACGCUGCACUGUCGUGCAUGCUUUAUGACAUGUUGAAAAGUGUAAUUUUGGUAAUGCUGGCAACAGCUGAGCUUAACAGACUCAGCUUGUGUCAUUGACUUGGUGAGCUCUCACUCUG